GAUAAACGCUGGCGGCGUGCCUAAAACAUGCAAGUCGAACGGCACCUUCGGGUGUAGUGGCGGACGGCUGAGUAACACGUGGGUGACCUGCCUCCGAGCGGGGGAUAACUGCCCGAAAGGGUGGCUAAUACCGCAGACAUCCAUCAUUCGGUUGAUGGAUUGAACUUGAGGGGUUCGGAGAGGGGCCCGCGGCCGAUUAGCUAGCUGGUGGGGUAACGGCCUACCAGGGCGACGAUCGGUAGCUGGUCUGAGAGGAUGAUCAGCCAGACUGGGACUGCGAACGGCCCAGACUCCUACGGGAGGCAGCAGUUAGGAAUUUUGGGCAAUGGGCGAAAGCCUGACCCAGCAACGCCGCGUGGGUGAUGAAGGCCCUCGGGUCGUAAAGCCCUUUUCCCAGGGACGAUGGUGACGGUACCUGGGGAAUCAGCCCCGGCUAACUACGUGCCAGCCGCCGCCGUAAAAC
rnacentral:rRNA from 1 species